CUGUGCCCUCUAGGGAGGGGACAGUGUCACCUCCACAGGACAGGGCUGGCAGGUGUCUGGCUGUUAGCAAGAGUCCCAGCUGCUCCCAAGGCUGUGCAGUUCUCCUGCUGCAGCCUGUCCCCACAGCUGUGUCCCUGCCUGUGCCCACAGCUGUGUCCCUGCCUGUGGCCAGGCUCUUGGCUCUCUGGCUGCCAGCGGAGGGAGGCCCACACUGCCUCAGGGCUCCCUGCUCUGCUCCCUGGCCAUGGGCUGAGCAGAUUGCAGGGCCGGCUCUGCUUCUGGCAGCCAGCAGCUCUUUCCUGCUCCAGGUGAAUGGUUCAGGUGCCAUCCCGUGGGCACGGCGGUGCUGAUUCUGCUGCUCCUGGUGCUGGUGCUGGCUUUGGGGGCGGCCUUGGCUGUGCUGGCAGCACCACAGGUUCCAGGUGCAUCGGCGGCACCGCUGUUGGUUCUGGGCUGUCCCCAUGGCUGGGUUGGCUACAAUGGAGUCUGCUACGGCUUCUCACGGGAUUACAGCACGUGGGAGCAGGGUCAGGAACGGUGCUCCGAGCUCGGGGCCUCCCUGGCCAUUGCCAAGGAUGAGGAGGCCAUGGAUUUGCUCUCCCGCCUCUGCGGGAAUUUCGGUUACUGGCUCGGGCUGCGCAGACGGGGCGAGCGCCUGCACUGGGGGGACGGCAGCAGCUACAGCUCCCGGGUUCCUGUCCUCGACAAUUCCGAGUGUGUGUACCUGGCUGACGAGAGAUUCAAGAGUGACAACUGCUCCAACGAGCGGCCGUAUCUCUGCAGCAAGGCCCAAGCUCCCCUGUAACAGGGGCUGCACAAAGGACCUUCUCCACGCUGGGCAGCGCCAGCUUCACCUCUGAGCCCAGCACAGCGCUGUCCUUCCUCAGCUGCGCCCUGUGCCUUGCACUUCCUCUCAGGGUCACCUCAGUGCCUCUUCAUCCCCAGUGCCAGCGCUGGGCUGGGGCUGCAAAGGAAAAGUCUCUGCAAUCCACACUGGCACU